GACAAGGGGAGCUUGCAGUACAGGCUGAGAGGAAGUUGAGGACUUCGACCCAUAACCUGAUUUGGAUAAUGCCAACGUAGGGAAGCGUU
rnacentral:ncRNA from 1 species